rnacentral:lncRNA from 10 species
AGGGAACCCUCCAGAGCUGUGGCUGAGCUAAGCUGCAGGAGAGGACCAGAGGACAAGAGCUGCAGGCAUGGGCAGAGGAAAGCAGCCACUGGCACCCCAUGCCCAGCAAGGAAGUGGGCUUCAAGCAGCCUCAAGAGGAGUCUUUCCCAUGGCAGGACUCCCCAGGAGAGAGGCUUCCUCCUCACGCCACUUUGUCCUCUGGCAGCAACAAGUCUCAGGGGCUGAGCUGCCUCCCACCCCUCUGGGGGCCACUCUCCUGCUGACACCCAGCUCGGCACAACUGUUCCACCAAGACGGUGUCCACAAAUGCAUCCCCAAACGACAAGUGCAUGCAAAUCACCCAGUUACAGAAGCAAAUAGCAGUCCAGAGAGAAGAAGAGCCGAGCAGGAGAGGAGCUGGAACUUUCCCGUUUGGCUCUGUCAGCCAAGUGCAGCUUUCAAGUUCUCUAGGGACUGCUGUAUUUUCUCAUGACGUUUCUCUCAGGUUCCGACUUCAGAUCUCCGGCUCCUCUUUCACUGGACGGAUUCCAAAUACUACAACUCCCUGUGUGACAGCUGGAGAAUCACUGCACCUUUCUGGGCCCCAUUGAGUGACAGAAGAUCGGAAUGGAUAGUCACAUGCCUGCCCCAGCGUGGAAGGAGAAGAGCCUAUACUUCCAUCCAUUCUGGCCUCUUCCAAGUUCCCCUCAUUUUUCUCUCUAAGAUCAAAUAAAUAAACAUGUUGUUAUUCUUUUUAUACAUU